CCAACCCUUCCCAGACCUCAUUUAAGGAUUGUCAGUGUAAGCAAGGGAAUCUUGUUGCAGAUCACUGUAUGCCUGAAGCCUUCCAAGGGUAUCAGGUAACCCAACACACAUCAGAGCUGCUGUCACUGUGGUCUUUGGUCUUCCCUGGGUGAAGUAGGAAAGCAAACAAGCUGGGAUGCUCUUUACAUUUCAUGCAUUUAUUUGAUGCUCUUAAAUGACAGGAGUAUGGAGUAAUCAUCAUACAGAAAAGUUUUGGAAAGGUGGAACAACAGCUGGAAGGACCCUGCUUCCUAACCAGAGCAGAAGGAGGAACUUGAUGGCUACCAGAGCUGUGAGAGAAGGAAGUUCAGAGGUGGGGAAAACAGAGAUAACAACAUAGAUUGGAAAGAGACAAGCAUGUGAAAAAACAGAUAAAAGGAGCCAACUGGAUGUAAAGCAGUAAUUACACCAAGCUCUUUUUAGCAACAGAAACUGAGGAACAGAUCUUGAACUUCAGUGAAUGGAAAGAAAAUGGGAACUGAUCUUAUUCUACAACUGAGC
rnacentral:lncRNA from 1 species